rnacentral:rRNA from 1 species
ACAGGGAUUGCCUCAGUAACGGCGAGUGAAGCGGCAACAGCUCAAAUUUGAAAUCUGGCUCCUCCGGGGUCCGAGUUGUAAUUUGUAGAGGAUGCUUCGGGCGCGGCGUCAGUCUAAGUUCCUUGGAACAGGAUGUCAUAGAGGGUGAGAAUCCCGUAUGCGACUGAAUGCCUAGCUCAUGUGAAGCUCCUUCAACGAGUCGAGUUGUUUGGGAAUGCAGCUCUAAAUGGGUGGUAAAUUUCAUCUAAAGCUAAAUACCGGCCAGAGACCGAUAGCGCACAAGUAGAGUGAUCGAAAGAUGAAAAGCACUUUGGAAAGAGAGUUAAAAAGCACGUGAAAUUGUUGAAAGGGAAGCGCUUGCAAUCAGACUUGCCUGCAGUUGAUCAACCGGUGUUCUCAUCGGUGUACGCUUCUGCAGAUCAGGCCAGCAUCAGUCUGGACGGUUGGAUAAAGACCUUGAGAAUGUAGCUUCCCUCGGGGAGUGUUAUAGCUCUGGGUGCAAUGCAGCCUGCCCGGACUGAGGACCGCGCUUCGGCUAGGAUGCUGGCGUAAUGGUUGUAAGCGACCCGUCUUGAAACACGGACCAAGGAGUCUAACAUCUAUGCAAGUGUUUGGGUGUCAAACCCAUGCGCGCAAUGAAAGUGAACGGAGGUGGGAACCCUCAAGGGCGCACCAUCGACCGAUCCUGAUGUCUUCGGAUGGAUUUGAGUAAGAGCAUAACUGUUGGGACCCGAAAGAAGGUGAACUAUGCCUGAAUAGGGUGAAGCCAGAGGAAACUCUGGUGGAGGCUCGCAGCGGUUCUGACGUGCAAAUCGAUCGUCAAAUUUGGGUAUAGGGGCGAAAGAC